GCGGUUGUAGUAUAGUGGCAGUACAUCGCGUUGUGGCCGCGUCGACCUUGGUUCGAUUCCAGGCAACCGCA
rfam:Zancudomyces culisetae strain COL-18-3 scaffold-1451, whole genome shotgun sequence.